GAGGGUACAGCUCAGUGGUAGAGUGAGUGCCUUGCAUGCACCAAGGUCCUAGGUUCAAUCCCAAGUACCUCCA
rnacentral:tRNA from 1 species